rnacentral:rRNA from 1 species
AUUUUAUCAUUAUAAGUAUGACAUAAUAUGGAUAUUUAGGUGUAAAUAAUCAAAGUGAUUGUUAAGGAUGCCUAGCAAACAUUUAUUUAAAGGAGGUGGAAACACCUAAAGUUAUAAUAACACGGCUAUAUUAACAACGUUCCUAAGGAAAACCAAAAAUUAUAAACGCAGUGAACUGAAACAUCUAAGUAACUGCAGGAAAGGAAAUCAACCGAGACUCCAUAAGUAGUGGCGAGCGAAAAUGGACUAGCCGAAAGCAUUAAUUUAUCAUAAAAUUCCGUGGAAAAGGAAAUCCGUAGAAGGUGAAAGCCCUGUAUAUGAUAAAUUAAGUAGAAAUAUCAAUUAAGGUAGAAGAAAAUCUGCUGUAAUAAUUAAGUAUAAAUUAAAUGUUUAAUUAAACAUUUAACUUGAUAUUGGGGAACCAUCCUCAAAGGCUAAGUAUAAAUGUUUAGCGAUAGUGUAAAGUAGCGUGAGCGAAAGGUGAAAAGAAUGUCGAUGACACCAAUUUGAAAUAAAACCUGAAUUAGCAAUCAUAUAAGCAAUUAAAGCAAUUCUCUAGGAGUAAUUCGAAAGAAUGUAAUAAUGUACCUUUUGUAUAAUGGGUUAGCGAGUUGAUGAUAGUAGCAAGGUUAAUAACCCUAGCGAAAGCAACUGGCAUUUAUAUGCGCGGUAAAUAGUUACUAUCUUCAGACCCGAAACGCGGUGAUCUAUCCAUGACCAGAUUAGUAAAUAGAUCGAAUGGGUCAAUGUUGCAGUAUUGUCCAAUGAGUUGUGGAUUGUCGGUGAAAGGCCAAUCUGACCGCGAUAUAGCUGGUACUCGACGAAACAUAUUUAGGUAUGACUUUCUGAGAUAGAUUUAUGCGGGUACAGCACUGAUUACUAUACUAAGUUCCUUUGGAAUAAAGUUUAAUUGGGGGGUUGUUAAAACUCUAUCAUUGGUAAUUAACCUCGGAACAACAUAAAUUGAUGCAGGAAAUUUCAGACUACUCAUGAUAAGGUGGGUAGUCGAGACGGAAACAGCCGUGAACAUAGAAUAAGGUCCCAAAAUGAUGAUUAAGUGAAAUUAAGGCAGUGGUGGUUCUCAUACAACUAUAAAGUUAGCUUGGAAGUUGCUAUCUUUUAAUGAAAGUGUAACAACUUAGUAGUCUAAUGAAACGCUGCACCGAAGAUUAACGGGUCUAGAUCAUCUACCGAAACUAUGUCUAUAUUUAUCUUCGUUCAAAGAACUAACAAGAAAAAUACUAAUAUUGUUUUCGAAAGAUUCUAUAGAAGUAUGAAGUAUCGUUAGUCCCCUGGUUCUUAGAGAUUUAUAAGGGUAGUCGAGCAUUCAGUAUGGAUGAAGAAUAGUGUUUCAUUAUUUGGACAGAUCUGAAGAGAUUAUGCUAACAUGAGUAACGUAGAAAGAAGUUAUAAUACUUCUCGCCGAAUACGAAAGGGUUUCAAAGAAAUGUUAAACAGCUUUGAGUUAAAACGGUCUCUAAGGUUGCAAGCCAAUGCUGGCAAUUGAUGAGUGUCUAGUAGAAAGUCUUUGACCAAGAAAUAAAAAUUAAUAGAAAAUAUUAAUAUUUAUAUUGUAUCUGAGAAUGUGGUAUUUAUAUUGUUUUGGAAAGGCAAUAUUUAUAUUGUAUUCAAAAGUUGUGGUAUUUAUUAUUGUAUUUUACUGCAUUUCACCGUACCCUAAACCGACACAGGUUCGUAGGUAGAGAAUACUAAGGCGUAGAGAUAAUACUGUAUAAGGAACUCGGCAAAAUGCGUCCGUACACUUGAUAAUAAGGACGACCGUAAGGUGUCACAUAAUCGUGAAGCACAACUGUUUACCAAAAACACAGGCAUCUGCUAUGUUUAACAACAUUGUAUAGGUGCUGAAUCUUGUCCGAUGUCUAGAGUAUAAUAUAGGUACCAAAAGGAUAUUUAUAGAACCUCUGAUCAAUGACAGUCUUAACUAUAAGGAUUUUAACAGUAGCGAAAUUCCUUGGCCGUUAAAUGCGGUCCUGCAUGAAUAGAGUAAUGAUGCUUCAGCUGUCUCAUACAGUAUCUCAGUGAAAUUGAAUUAGCCGUGAAGAUGCGGUUUAGAAGUGGGUAGACGGGAAGACCCUAUGCAGCUUCACUACAACCAGUUAUCGUUUCGAAUCCAAGUACAAGUGUAGAGUAAAGGGGAGUCGUUAGACGUCAAUGAAACACCCUUAUUUGCUUAACGAAGAGAAACUAAUCCCUUGUAAGGAAAAAGUGGCUGGCGGGUAGUUUAACUGGGACGGUUUCCUCCAAUAGAGUAUCGGAGGACUUCAAAAGGUAUGUUUAGAUUAGAUGGAUACUAAUUUGUUAUGUAGAACAAAAUCAAAUGUAAAGGUAAAAACAUGCUUAACUGUUAGACUGAUAAGUCGAGCAGGUACGUAAGUAGGACUUAGUGAUCCGGUGGUUCUUUAUGGAAAGACCAUCGCUCAAGAAAUAAAAGUUACGCUAGGGAUAACAGGGUAAUAGCUCUCGAGAGUUCAUAUUGUCAGAGCUGUUUGCCACCUCGAUGUCGACUCACCUUAUCCUCUUGGUGUAUCAGCUAAGAAGGGUUCUGCUGUUCGCAGAUUAAAAAGGUACGCGAGUUGGGUUCAAUACGACGUGAGUCAGUAUGGUUCCUAUCUUCCACUUCAAGAAAUAAUCAAAUUUAGAUGGGUUUUUAGUACGAAAGGACCAGAAUCUGCGUUUCUCUGGUGUACCAAUUGUUGAUAUUAAAAUUGGCACAGUUGGGUAGCUACAAACGUUAAGAAUAAAAGCUGAAAGCAUAUAAGCUAUUGAAGUCUACUAAAGGAGAUUAUAAUGCGUAAUAACGCAAGGUAAGAGAUAGACUAUCUCUAGAUGGGUCACAUGUAUAAGCAUUGUAAGAUGUGUUAGCUUAGUGAUACUAAUUUACUUAUUUA